rnacentral:lncRNA from 1 species
CCCAAACUCUGAUUCCCCAUGAAAUGAAUCAUUCCUCCCCAAACAACUGUUGUUUCUAUUUUGCUGUGCGAAGAUUAUUAGUAUAAUGAUGAGACCUAAUAUUGCAUUAAUUUGGUUGUGAAUUAUCUGUAUUGUCACAGUCAUUAACUCAGCGAUUGCAAUUUUGUUUUAAUUUAAUCUAGCUCUUUGUGUGCAUUCGGUCAAAACUUCCAAAAACAAUGUAAGCCAGAACUGCUUUUCAGAACAGACUGAUUAUCACAUUUAUGGAAUUUAUGGAAAUCCAGCCUGCGGGGACCGCCCUCGGAGUGAGAAAAGCCAGAAGCAGCAGGUGCAGCCAGGUGAGUCCAGGGCAGGGCCAACGCUCCCUCACCACUGUCCCCACCCCCAACAGGGCCGGUUCUCCUGCCCCCUCAGCCCCUCUAGACAAACCGCCCCCAGGGCCUCAAGGUCAAGAACUGGAUGGGAUCCAUCUCUCUGUCCCUUGCAGGGCUCUGGGCAAGUCCCGCACACAGCAUGGCUGUGCUGAAAAUGUGGCCGGUAGGAAGGAGGAAUGAGCAGGCCCCUAGCAGCACUUCCCCCACACACAGGAGGGACGGCCUGGAUAAGGUGGGUCUCUCCGAGCUCGCAUCACAACCCCAGUCCCAGCCGUGGCUGCAAAGGCUGGCGAAAAGCCUGGGUCGACUGGAAUUCAUCUGCCUUUUCAUCAUGGGGCUUCACAAUCUUUGUGCUUGAACUAAACAUGACCAGCUAUGUGGCUGGUGUCUGAAACUGGCUGGUUGUCCUCCAAGAGACUCCCGAGGCAGCGUUUACCCCUCAGCUGACCCCACCCAGAAACCUCACUGCUGUGCAGGAACCAGAGCACAGAUUAGCUUGCUGGGAAAACUCACAUUAGCCAAGCUCGCAUGGCUGAUGUAUAAACUAGAAGCCAGGUUUUUCACUGACAAUGAACAACUGAGCUGUGACAAGGAUGGGACUACUUUCUCCCAGAGAUGCAGUCUUACCUCCACCUGCCACCCCAGACCCUUCUCUGUCACAGGGCCUGGGGGUCCUGAGGCAUCAGGCACAGUGCUCUCACCUGGCCUCUCUGUGGCUCUCCUCUCCUGCUCCUGGUGUGGGCGGUCCUGGCCCUCCAGGAUGCUGAAGCUCAGCCUCCCCCUCCUCCAAGUCCACUGUCCAUACUCUUUGUCCUUCUAUUGCAGCCCCUCGCCCUGGGGCUUUGGGGGAAAUCCCAGUACAGUCAAAGGGCUGAGCUCAGGACCAGCCCCUCCCCACUGUUUAUCAUUGCAUUCCAGAAUCCAACACAGGGCCUCCUCUUGCACCUCCAUUCUCUCUUCCUUGCACCUCUCCGUGAGCACUCCUCUAGGAGGCACACUGCCCUGGGGGCUGUCCCCAGCUCUCCACAUGGCUCAGAGGGGCCUAAUCCCAGAGGAACCAUGGCGGGGACCCCCACCAAGGACCCUGCCUCUCUCUUUGCUCACAGCAUUUAUUCAGCUCCCUUUAGAUCUUAUAGGCUUGGGAGCUGUUCUCCCUCUAAGAAGAUUGUGCAUAUCCCUCUUCAAUUACAAACUGGCUUAUAUUUCCAAAGUGUAGACCGGCUCCUUGGGGUACCUUCCCAUAGACCCAAGCAGACCCCGGCCAGAGGAACCAAGUCCACGGAGAGCAGCGUGGGGUGGGGGCUUGGAGUCAGACGACCUGGUUUGGAAGACUGCCUGUGUGACUUUGGACAAGUUGAACAACCUCUCUGGGCUUCUUCUACUUAAAGCAGAGCCAAUGUUGUUGGGAGAAACUCACAACAUAAUUACACCUCCCUGGAGGUACCAUGGGAGUCAUGUAACCCUGGCUCAGUGUCACUUCCUCAGUUGGGGGAUUCCGGCUCUGGGAGAACUCUUUGCUGUGUCCUGGAGGAAACCCAUGUGCUGGAGAAGACUGGAAAGAGGGGGGCUGGCAUCACUCAGGCUAGGCCCAGUGGUUCAUGGCUCAGCGGCUGCGGCCAGCCAAACGAGGAUCAGAAGUACUGAGGCGGAAAGGAAACAUUUUCCCUGAAAUAGAAGAGGGGAAGGAAUUAGAAAAGGUGGAGGAAAACCCGAGAACCCGGCCAUAGUGUGGGGUGGGAGAUCAGCUAUUGCGUCCACCAGCGCUUCUAGAAGAAAGGGUGGCCUAGCACUGAGGGCCUGAAUGGGGACACACCCAGCUCCCUCUGCUCCCAGCCUGCGCUCCACUGCUCUGAGCCAUCCGGGCUGCCUCCUCUGCGAGCGGCCAGAGGGAUGGAGGAACUGAGUUCCUUCCUUCGUCUGCAGAACAAGCACGCAGAGAGAAGAAACCAAGCGCAGAGUCUCACGCAGCCAGGCUGCAACUUAACACAUGACACUCAGAUAUGCAAAAUAUGUAGCUUAUUUAUUUCUUGGUAAUUUAUCUUCCCAUUUUCACAAGACUCCACCCCACUGGAGAAUGUAAACUUGCCUAUUAAAGAAACCCCAGGGCAACGGGGCCUUGUAGCUUGAACACAGCAGAGAAGCUGGCACAUCCUCCUUCUUUCGAAACCACCUCAAAGAUAGCCAUCUGCAAAGAUAAACCACAACGCUUACCUUACACCACACACAAAAGUGAACCAGAAAGUGGAUCAGAAGCCUAAACGCAGGAGCUAAAACUACAAAGCUUCUAGAAGAAAACAUAGGAGAAAAUCCUCAUGAUCUUAAAGUUGGGAAAGAUUUUUUAAACAGGACGCACAAAAACUAUAAAAGAAAACUAUAAACAGGAGACACACAAACUAUAAAAGAAAAAAACCCAGUAAAUUGGACUUCAUCAAAAUUAAAAAUCUCUGAUUUUCAAGACACUGUGAAGAAAACGAAAAGGGAAGGCCCAGACUGGAGCAAAUAUUUACAAACCAUGUAUCUAACACAGCACUUGUAUCCAGACUAUACAAAGAACCCUUACAACCUAAUAAGACGACGGAUUCGAAUAGACAAUUAACCAAAGAAGAUCCAUGUCUGGAAAAUAAGCACAUAAAAAGAUGCUGUGUCAUCAGUCAUUAGCAAAAUGCAAAUUAAAGCCACAGAGGGAGCACCUGACACCCACUGGGAUGGCUGAAAUUAAAAAGACUGGCCACACGAGGCUGUGAAGCAACUAGAACUCUCUCACGCACCUGGGGACGGGGUGGAGCCAUGGGCACACACCUGGGGGUUGGGGGGGGGCGGGAUGUGAUCACAGCUGGGAGCAGGGGGGUGUUAAGAACACAACUAGGGGCGGGGGGGGGGGGGGUGAGCACCCUGGGAGCAAGGGUACACACCUGGGGGCAGGGAUGGGGGGGUGAGCAUACCCCCAGGGGCAGGGGUUGGGGGGAUGAGUACACACCUGGGAGCAGGGGUUGGGGGAUGAGCUCAGGGCUGGGGGCAGGAGUUGGGGGUAAGAACUCACAGGGCUGCAGGGUCUGGGUUACCAGGCUGCAGAAGAGGUACUGCUCAGGCACUGGCUGAACGGCCGGACCACCCCGCGGAGGCUGGGGCAGAUGGCAGACUCAAAGCCCACUCGCAUCCCUUCCCAACCUUGUAGAGCAGUGGUUCCCAGCCCCCGCUGCACAUUAGGAUUGCCUGGGAGCUUUAAACAUGCCCAGAGGUCCAUCCCCUCCCCUAGACAGUGGGAUUUAACUGGUACAUGCCUCUUGACUUCGGCCAUCUAGUUGCAAAACCCAGGAGCAAUGGAGGAGAGGGAGCUCAGAGGCAGAAAGGAAGACGGGUGUGGAAGCGGCCUGGAAUUCAAACCCCAUUUAUUUAUUUAUUUUUAAACAUUUUUAUUUUUCCUUUUUCUCCCCAAAGCCCCCCCGGUACACAGUUGUGUAUUUUUAGUUCUGGGUCAUUCUAGUUGUGGCACGUGGGACGCCACUUCAGCAUGGCUUCAUGAGCGGUGCCAUGUCCGUGCCCAGGAUUCGAACCAGCGAAAACCCUGGGCCGCCAAAGCGGAGUGCGCGAACUUAGCCACUUGGCCACGGGGCCGGCCCCUCAAACCCCAUCUCUGCCUCUCACCAGCUGUGUGAUCUCAGGCCAAUAUGGUGACCUCUCAGCCUCAGCGUCCUCACCUAGACAUCCCUCCCAGAAGGUGGAUGAGGGUCAGCAACAAUAUAUGUAACUAUUCGGUUUGGUGCAGGUACCUUGAAGUGUAACAAAGCGGGGCUCUUGUCACCGUUCCCCCCUCAGCUGCCUCUGAUUCCUGCAAGUGGACUGGGCUCCCGGACCACCUGCACUGCUGGGAAUUCAGAUGUGAGCCAGGGGAGAGGCUGGCCGCAUAGACAGGGCUGCCUUGGAUCCACAGUUCCAGCUUCCAUGAGACUAUUCUGGUUCCAAUUCAGAAUGCCUGGCUCCUGGCUGAAUGGCUUUGUCCCAAAGAUGUAAUUUCUAUUUUGAUUCCACGCGAUAUUUAAUGAAACGACUUUCAGACACCAUGCAGCGUGUCUGAGUUAUGAAACCACAGCUUCUGACUCCCCAACACGACACAAUCACAGGCCCCCUCUUGUUGCUACGGGAGCUCCCCCAUGUCAGAUUGGAGGCACCGAGCACAGCCCCGGGGGCCGACGCCCACCAUAAUGGCACCUUCAUGCUGUCUGCCCCGGGGGCCCGGCGCCCCAUGCCCCUGCUGCUUCUGGCUGGACAGUGACAGCACCCUCCGCCCAGGCUGCCUCCUGUCUCCCUCUCUCCAAUCCAGCGCUGUUCAAACUGCCAUUAAAAACAUUCAGGAGACAGGAAAUCAAUGGAGAGGGUUGCAAACAGCAUUUUUAGAAAAACAAAUGAAACAGGAUUAGAAUAGAAAACACUGGAAUGCACUGCACAUAGUAAGAGUGAUUGCAGCUUCGUGGCACUGGCUGUGAGGGUGUAGCCCGGGUCUCUGCAAAACGAAAGACUGAAAGCACACAGCCGUAAUCCACCACGCUCUGACCUCUCUGAAAUGCACAAAUGACCAUGUCACUUUUAGCUAGAACUCAGUGAGGGUUUGGGACAGAGCUCAGAUCCCUCGGUGCUCAGCGUACCGUGAGUACACCUGCGUGCGCAGUGCAUGAUGUCACUGCAGCUGUCUCCUAGGCGAUCCCACUCCACCUGCUGACCUCCUCUGGGCUAAGAUGACUUCCUGGAUCUAUAGAAGCAAAGAUAUAAAUAUUUCUAGAAGUCUUCCAUUCAAAAGGAAGUAGAUGCCCUACAAUUUCUCAAGAGCUUGGCUAUUAACAACAGGCAUUGCACCCACAGGCAGGAACAGUUUGUUGGUGGUCACUGAAGGGCCGGAGUCAUGAGGUCACUCCCACGUUUAGGGUCGAGGAUGCUGCCGGGCUCAAAAGCUAAACGCUGGGAGAAGGCAGGCAGCUGACUGCAGCUGGAGCCCAGCCCCAGGGCCCCAGAAAUCUCUAGAACCACAGGGAUGCCAAAUGGUACUCUGCCAGCAGCUUCAUAAAACUCAUUUCCCACCACGUCAUGUGAACAUCUGGACAAGCACAGGUUCCAAAGAAAACUGAAAAAGAAAUAAACUGUGCACUGGCCAGUAGAUGUGAGACUUCUCUGACCUUGCAGGAACCCAAGGAGACGCCUCGGGCACCGGCUGCCGUCUGUGUCCUCUCUCAGUCCUGGGCAGGGAGCACAGCCUGGCCCAGAGCUUGGGGACACUUGUGCAAGGAAGAGCCGGCAUGCCCUGAGGACUCCGACUUCGGCUCGGGUUCCAGGCCCCAAAGGCCUGACGCUCCUGGCUACAGGACAGUCUCCAGAAGGGCCUGUGCAUGAGCAGGGCGGCGGGACGGACCUAACAGUCAACUCAGCAGCUACAGCCAUCCACCAGUUAGCCAGGACGUCAGGAGAGAGCAGAGGGAAGAAAGUGGGCAGAGGCAGUGAGCCCUAUUUACCGACCAGCCCCUCAGGGGCCUGGGCUCCACAACCAUCAUCUCUUAAUCCCCACCAGCAAGACCCUCUUGCUACUGUGUCAGAGACCCACUACCCCCAGGUCAACCAUUCAUUCAUUCAUUCACUCAUUCAUUCAUUUAACAAACGUUUACUGAGAGAAUCCAGAGUGCCUGCCCCUUGCCAGAUACUGGCUGAAGAUACCCAGGGAGCAGUAGACCCUGUCCCCGCCCUGAGGAGACUUACAACCCAGGGGAGGGGUCAGAAAAGUGACAGGUACGAUUCUGCUUGAUAAACGCUCAGAAGAGGGGACCCCUGAUCCAGCUUCGCGGGGUCUGGGGAGGCUCCGGGGGAAAGUGACCUCGAGGCUGAGACGCGACAGAGCAGAGCUGGACAGGGGGUGAGGGGCAGGCAAGGUGGGGAGCAGAGGCAGCGCGUGCGAGCCCUGGAGCCCAGGGAGGGGCAGGCAGCGCGGGCGCGGGGAAGCCGGGAGGCCCUGGGGCUCCUGCAGGACGAGCAGUGGCAACACAGGGGCAGCACCCGAUGUGCUUUCUACAGGAUCAUCCCGGAUGCUCUGUGGAUAGAACAGUGGAGGAGGGCAAGGCGGGGACGCGCGGCCUGACCACGAGCGCGGCCAUAAUCCGAGGGAGACUGCCGUGCCCCGCGCCGGGACGGGGCAAGGGUGGGCUGGGAGCGCGCGCGGUAGGGGACGGACGGCUGCAGGACGCGCGGAAGGUGCGGUGCAUAGACAGGAGGGCGGGACUCCCCCGCCUGGCCGCGCGCGGAAUAACAGAGGCCCAGCCUGGACGUCUGACCGGCGCCCGGACCGAGGACAGCGCACCAGGAGCCUGGCUGGCGUGCAGUUGGGGCAGUGCCGGGGAACAGCCAGGGGGAGGUGUCCAGCUGAACGUGAGGUCUGGAACUCAACACCUGCAUUGCGGAGAGGGAUGCGAUUCCACAGCCAGUCUUGAAGAGGCUCCAGGAAAAACGGUGCGGGAGCAGAGAGGAGGAGGUGCGGGGGGGACGGCCAAGGAGACCGAGCGGGGCCCGCCGGGCUCAGGGAGCCAAGCGGACGCAGUGAGAACCGAAGCGGGCCACUGGCCACAGGGGGGCGGCACAACCGACAUCCAGGUUCAGAGCGACUCGGGAACCAGGUUGACCCCAACUCAGGAACCAGGCUGCCCCAGUUCCUCCCCUUACUGGCUUUGUGACCUUGGGAAAAUCACUUAACCUCUCUGUGCCUCUGGUCCUUCACCUGUAAAGGGAUAUUGUGAGCAGUGAAUGAGUCAGUAUAUGAAAAGUGCUUAGAAUAGUGCAUGGUGAGCACUAUAUAAAUUUUGGGGAAAAGGAAAGCAAAGGUCCCGGAGGAGGAAGCCAGACAGCAGGAACUGAGGCAUGAGGGACAUGAAGGUGGCAGUAACUGCAGAGACCUCUUUCAAGAGGGCUGGGUGGGCGGUGCAGCAGAGAGGUGGGCUGACUCAAUGGAAAGGAUGUCGCUUUCCAAGGACGCGACCCAGGAGGGAUAAAGAAGCCUAGAGCUAGGCUCAGGAAACCUUGAGGGGCCACCCCCCACCCCCACCCCCACCCCACCCCCGCCUGGCAUUCCCGCAGUGCUGGCUGCCACACCGAAUCCUGACCCCACCCCGCCCUCCCCUCCUGUCUGGACUCACCCUGUGGGCUCGCCCGCCCCAGACUCCAAACGCCCCGUGUGGAUCAGACUCCACACCGCCGCCCCGGCCCAGCCCCUGCCCUGAGCUCCGGCCCCACGUGCGCACCGCCCGUCCAGCUUGAGCCUGCGGACCAGGACUGGCCUCUGCGGCUCCGGCCGCGUCUCCAUCCCCACAGCGCUCCUGCCGGGUGCGCAGCCAGCCCCCGGAGCCUCCUGACUCCCCUCUCAUGCGCAUGAAACCACCUGCUAGUCCGGCCAGCUGCCUUUCCAAUCGGGCAUAAGGCCACCCUGCCCGCCGCCUCCCCCUCAGCCCCUUCCCACCCCGGCCAGUCGCCACCACCUCUUACCUGCACGGUGAGUCGCAACAGCCUCUGAGCAAGACUGCUUCCACCGCAUCC